ensembl:lncRNA
GGAGGGUCUAGCUAGCCUCUGUUUUGUUUGACAACAAUUCGAACGUCAACAAGAAGUUACGACUCCCGGCAUCGCUUAGAGCACCUUUAAGUAUCUGUCUUUACAUUCUGAGUAAUGCUGAAACGUUUUAACUUAAAUCAAGAGACAGCUGUAUGUGGGUCGCAGGUGUGUGUGUCGCAUUGAACAGUACGUCCCGGCAGUUGUGUGUGGCCUUGCUAUGCUGACCAGCAGCAUUGAGGGGUACUAUCUCUGGGUAUGAUCUGCAAUGGAAAAUGGAGCACGGCCAGAGCAGUUGGUCGUCCUCUCGCCUCUGUUCCCUCCUCGGCCUGGGGUUACUGCGAAUCUGGCGCUGAAGACUGAAGCUGCUAACGUUAUAUUCGAAGCCUCAGAAGACCUUCAAGGAUCCAGUUGACCUCUGAAUCAGCUGUUAAGAAAAUGGGACAGUUAUAUUGCUUCAAUUGGUCUCCUACUUCAUUUGAUUCCACCUUCAUUACAAGGCUGCAAGGGAUCUGGAAAAAUGUCAUCCUGUCAAGCUGAAAAACAUCUUCAAAAAGGCACUAACAAGAACAGCUUGAUUGCAGAGAAGAGACCACACAGCCAUACACGCUCACUGAUGGGACGAUGAGGAACAUCAUUCAUGGAUGCUACACAACUCAAAUCUACACGUCAUAUUUGUUCAUGUCUAGGUAAAUUUGAUGAUUUUGUGUUUUAUUAAUUACUUUGUUUCUGUGCAACACUUAAUGAAUGUGACUGACUAAUUAACCUCUACACAUCUGGUAUAUGCUUUAAAGUUGCCACUUUGCCCAUUUGUUCAAUAAAUGUUGAAAUGUAUACAUCUGUCUGAAGACUUUCCUGAUUUUAUGUCUAUCCUUUUACAUUAACUUUAUUUUUAUCAUAAUUAACAUUAUUUUUUUUGUUUGCACUGAAAAGAGGACAUUAUUAAUUAUGCUUAAAACAACAGCAGAGGUGUUAAAUACCCCAUAGUGUAAAAUUUGAACAGCAAUAGCAUGUGUAACACUUUACACUUGGAGUGUAAUUUUUCUAGACAUUGUUUAAAAUGAAAUGUAAAAUGUGAAAAUGAAAAGGAUUUAAUUAAAUUCUGAUUUUAAUUCAGUGUGUGUUAUAUAUAUAUAUAUAUAUAUAUAUAUAUACCUUUAGAAAUAACUGCAAAUUACAAGCUAAAUACAAAACUUAGUUCUAGAAUUUGCAUUCAGAGAUAGUUUGAC